CCUACGGGAGACAGCAGUGAGGAAUCUUGGUCAAUGGGCGCGAGCCUGAACCAGCCAAGUAGCGUGAAGGAUGACUGCCCUACGGGUUGUAAACUUCUUUUAUAAAGGAAUAAAGUCAGGCACGUGUGCCUUUUUGUAUGUACUUUAUGAAUAAGGAUCGGCUCACUCCGUGCCAGCAGCCGCGGUAAUACGGAGGAUCCGAGCGUUAUCCGGAUUUAUUGUGUUUAAAGGGAGCGUAGAUGGGUUGUUAAGUCAGUUGUGAAAGUUUGCGGCUCAACCGUAAAAUUGCAAUUGAUACUGGCAGGCUGGAGUACAGUUGAGGUAGGCGGAAUUCGUGGUGUAGCGGUGAAAUGCUUAGAUAUCACGAAGAACUCCGAUUGCGAAGGCAGCUUACUAAACUGCAACUGACAUUGAUGCUCGAAAGUGUGGGUAUCAAACAGGAUUAGAUACCCUAGUAGUC
rnacentral:rRNA from 1 species